AGGUAGGAAUACCCGCUGAACUUAAGCAUAUCAAUAAGCGGAGGAAAAGAAACCAACAGGGAUUGCCCUAGUAACGGCGAGUGAAGCGGCAACAGCUCAAAUUUGAAAUCUGGCCCUAGCGGUCCGAGUUGUAAUUUGUAGAGGAUGCUUUUGGUUAGGUGCCUUCUGAGUUCCCUGGAACGGGACGCCAGAGAGGGUGAGAGCCCCGUACGGUUGGACACCGAGCCUCUAUAUAGCUCCUUCGACGAGUCGAGUAGUUUGGGAAUGCUGCUCUAAAUGGGAGGUAAAUUUCUUCUAAAGCUAAAUACCGGCCAGAGACCGAUAGCGCACAAGUAGAGUGAUCGAAAGAUGAAAAGUACUUUGAAAAGAGGGUUAAAUAGCACGUGAAAUUGUUGAAAGGGAAGCGUUUGCGACCAGACUUUUUCCAGGCGGAUCAUCCGGUGUUCUCACCGGUGCACUUCGCCUGGUUUAGGCCAGCAUCGGUUCUCUUAGGGGGAUAAAGGCCUGGGGAACGUAGCUCCUUCGGGAGUGUUAUAGCCCCUAGCGUAAUACCCUUCGGGGGACCGAGGAACGCGCA
rnacentral:rRNA from 1 species